ACAGGUGUAGCCGGCCGGAGCGCUGCCCACACGCAAGUGGCGCCGCCCACCUGGAGAACCCACCCACGGCAGUGUUGUGCCUUGCUCACCUUCGACCUUCCUCAGGCUGCUUGGCCUGGGUUGUUCGUCGAUGGUUGGUGCUCUUUGAACAGCGAAGAUGACUGCGUGAGAAGUUAGAGGAGGCUCGCUUCUUCUGAUAGGGGCGUAAGAAAGUGCUUUGUGUGCAGUUAAAACGCAUGCCUGUCAAACCCAGCAAACUCCACACCUACCUUCCUUAGGUCAUCCAAAGGCUGCUGAUACACAUCAUUGGAAAGACUGCCACUGACAAGAUCAACUGAUGGCACAAGGGUGGUGAAUGGCUGCUUAUCAUAAAUGGUUGCUUAAAAUGGAGACAUACCAUUUUCUCUAUCAAUGUAUUGACUGAUAUCGAAUUAAAUUCUACAACUGGAAGGACAGAUGGCUGCUGUGGCAAAAGAUAACUGUUGACUAUUGAUGUUUCAUACUUUGAAAGGAAUUAUGUUAACACUUUUGCCCCAAUCCAACUAAUUAGAUCUGCACACAUUUUAAAAAACUAGAUUAGAUCUGUGCACAUAAGCAGACUGCUGCACACAUAUCAUUGGAUAGUAUGGGAACCAAGAGCACUGACUGUUAAAUCUUUAUACAUAUUGGUGUGAAAUGUUUAUGAAUAGUGGUAUAGACAUUUGUUAAAUAAAAAUAAUAAAAAGCAAAUCUGUUCAUAGAAGCUGAAUAUGCAUGAUACAGUCUACUUACAUAUUCUUUUGAUGAGCUAUGGCAUCCACAUAGGCUGCAAUCCAGUAUAACAGAAACAGGGAAUCUGUGGCCUUCCAGAUGUUCCACCAGCCAGUGUGGCAAAUCGUCAGGGAUGAUGGGAGCUUUAGUCUAGGAACAUCUUGUAAGUGAUGCACAUUUACCUGUAAGUGCCACUGAACAGAGAGUGGCUUAUCUCUGGGUAAACAUUCAUAGAACUGUACUGUAAAGCUGGGACGCUCUGACUAUCUGAGGAUAUCAUAAAAUGAAAGUUUAACAACAUUAUUUACACCUUUUUGGAAUGCUGUAUUAUGAGUUUUUAAAUGCAAGCUAGCGAAAACCUUUCUGUAUUCUUCAGAAUUGUAUUUUUACUUAAAGCAAUCUGUUUCAGGUGAUGAUUCUGCAACCUGCUAAAUAACAUUUGAUACUUUGUAUUCAUUACUGUUGCAUGCUAAAG